rnacentral:rRNA from 1 species
UACGAAGGGGGCGAGCGUUGUUCGGAAUUACUGGGCGUAAAGGGCGCGCAGGCGGCUCUGAAAGUCAGAUGUGAAAGCCCCGGGCUUAACCUGGGAAUUGCAUUUGAUACUCUGGAGCUUGAGUACGGGAGAGGAGAGUGGAAUUCCCAGUGUAGAGGUGAAAUUCGUAGAUAUUCGCAAGAACACCAGUGGCGAAGGCGGCUCACUGGCCCGAUACUGACGCUGAGGCACGAAAGCGUGGGGAGCAAACAGG